GCCCAUUUUUAAAUUGGGUUGUCUUUUUAUUAUUAAGUUGUAAGAGUUCUUUAUAUAUUCUGAAUACUGGUCUCUUAUCAGAUAUGUUAUUUGCAAACAUUUUCUCCCCUUCUGUGGGUUGUCUUUGCACCUCCCUGAUUAUAUCAUUUACAACACGAAAGUUUUUAAUUUUGAUGUAAUCUAAUUUAUUUUUCCUUCUGUAGGUUGUGCUUUUGGUGUCAUGUCUAAGAAAACAUUGCCUAAUCCAAAGUCAUGGAGAUUUCCUCCUAUGUUUUCUUCUAAUGGUUUUCUAGUUUUAGCUCGUACAUUUAGGUCUAUGACCCAUUUAAGUUACGUUUUGUGUGUGAUGUAAGGAAGGUGUCCACCUUUGCAUGGGAGUAGCCAGUUGUCCCAGCACCAUUUGCUGAAUUGAUUAUCCUUUCCCCCAUGGAAUUUUUUGGUAAAUUGCCAUUUUUGAAGGUCAUGCUGGGUUGAAUAUAGAUAAUUUCAUAGGGAACAGUUUACUUUCAUUACAGUAUUACCAUGAAGGAAGCAAAACGAGAAAUAACUGCAGUCUCUGGCUUGGCCACGAGAUGUCAGCAGUCUCCCAGAUUCUAUCCCUUUCCGCUGAGCUACUCCAAAAUGUGGUUUUAAUCAAGUAUCCUCCACAAGAAUCUUUCACUGUCUUUCUCUAACCUCCUGAUAACCCUGACUUUGGCCACCCCAGUGUUGCACAUCUUAGUCCCCUACUUUUUAGUAAAAAACCUGGAGUUUUCUGUUCUCUGGUGGAGAGUGAGGUAGGAGGGGGAUCAUGGUUUGGGCUCCUGGAGUGAAUGUGAAAUAGAAUCAGUUAUAAAAGUACUCCAAGUUCGUUAUAGAGCUGCGGACCAUGUGAUCCAGCUGUUCUCAACUGUUAAAAAGCCUGAUGGAAGUGCAACUCACCCGCCACAGGGUGGCACAGCUCAGCUACAAUGUCAAGGCUUCUUAGCUCCUGGCUGAUUUUAUUUUCGUUCAGUGUAGUAAAAAACAUUGCUAUUUCUUUGUUGAUCAGAAGCACUGAUUGAUAGUCAUGUAUGAUUUUGACUAAUAAAAACAGGUAAAUGAGACAUUAUUUAAUACACAGCAAAGGGAACAUGAGAGUGACAUGUUUGGAAGCCUCUGCCACCGUGAUGUUUUAGGCACAUUAGACGUGUGAUGUCUGCCGCCCUCCCUGCCCUUCUCCUCCACUGGUGUGAUAAGCUCCUCCAAGGCAGGCCUCACCCCCCUCUCCCCACAGGACCCUCUGUUGCUCCCACAGCCUUUCUGACAUGGAUUGAGGAGUCCUUGGGCCCCUCACCCCUCCUGCAUCUCCCACCUCCUGCAUCUGUAGGCCCCUGAACCCCAGCAUCAGAGCUGGUGGUAUACCCUGUUUUCUCAAUGCACACUAACCAAACUGUCCUAAGGGAGCUGUGAGGCUGGGAUGCAGGAAGAGGCCGCUGGCACAGCAGCCUUCCCCAUGCAGAGAGCUGUGCUAACCCGAAGCAAGUCUUCUCUCAGCACUCUGGGAGCUGUUACCAUCUGUCCAUCAGCAGCUUCAGGGAGCCAGGAGUGAUGACCUGGACCCAUUCAGGGAGAGGAGAAGGGGAAGGAGUCCCCACUUUGAUAGGAGGACCCUCUGGCUCCCUGAGGUCACGUCUGGUGCACAGCAGAACCAGAUUUUGACCCACGUCUGUCAGGCUUCAGAGCCCUUGGCCCUGCCCUGCAUUUGCCAGGGGUACAGGUAUCUUCGAGGUCAACAAAGAAGUCCCAGUUAUCCUCUUUCCACCCUUUCCGGAUCCUGACCUGGAUGGACAGCAGCCCUGAGAAGAGAGCGGGGUGUGAGCCUGGAACAGAAGGAACGUCUUACGAUGGGAAGAUGAUUCACUUGUGCUAUUUUUAUUCUGCCGACAGCGGCGUCACCACCUCUCUGGGCCUCAGUGUCCUGGCCUGUGAAAUGAGUGGGAAGAGACAACGCCUGCAAUCUCAGCUCGAGACACUCUCUGAGAGCCUUUCUAGUUGCAGGCCCCUGAGUCUCAUUAUGCCAAGAAACUGAUUUCGGAGAAGAAAUAGCCGCCUCAGCCCCCUGCCGGGAACCCACAAAUUCAGCGUCGCAGAGUAGGGCAGUGAAGUAACUCAAUAUUUGGAUCCAGCUCAGGAGUCUUCCCUGUCGUUGGAGUGGAACCUCCCUGAAGGGAGGUCCCCGCCCCUGGGCCCGGAGGGAUGGGCCCCCCGCCCCAGUCCUGGGCAGCAGGUUCUGACCUGAUCGUUCCUGAGCGGGACAGUGAGAGCAACAGGACCUGCUCACGUGAUGCCUCUGCCCAAAGUCACCUUCGGUGGCUACAGCCCUAAGCAGCAAUACCACGAUGAAGAGACUGUGGCUCAGAGAGGUUGCCAUGUGCGAGGUCACCUGUGCAGUGGAUCCAGUCCUGGAGCUGAGAUCGAAUCUCGGCUGUCUUGCUCUGGAGAUCAUGUUCUGAACCUCUGCUGCCUUUAGAGGAGGGAGAGGGGGUGUUACCUAGGCAGGAAGAAAGCGAAAGAACUGUCCAGGUGGAGGAGACAACCCCUGGGAAGGCCCCGAGGAGGGAAGGGCAUGGCCCAAGGAAGGUCAGUGUGGCAAGCACAGCAGAGGGCCCAAAGUGAGGCUGGAGAGGCUGGCGAGGGCCAGACCCUGAGGGCCUUGGUGCCAAGGCAAGGAUGUGGACUCUAACCUAAGAGCAGAGGGAAACCACUGGAAGGUUGUAAAAGCUCUCCAGGUGAUUCUAAUAUGCCUUCAGGGUUGAGAACCACUGGGGCUGAGGUGGUGGCAAUUGAGGCAAAGAAAAGUGGACAGACUUGAGAAGUACCUUGGACUUCGACUUAUAGGAUUUGGAGUAUCACACAGUAGGGAGGGACAGAGGAGGUGUUGAGAACGAAGAGGGGAUAGCAAAUGAUGUUGACGGUGAGUCCACAGAGGAGGGGCCCAGGGAUUUGUGAUUUCUAGGAGGCAACUGCUAUGCUGACACUCCUAUUAACACCAGAGCCUCCAUGUGAGCAUUGAGAUGAGCUGUGGCCUGAAGACUGCCCAGGCCUUGAAGUCCAGAUCACUUUGGUCCUUGUAACCCAAACAACCUAGUAAUUAAUAUGCUUGUAGUACAACAUGGCAAGUGUCACCACGGAGAUAUAAAUAAAAUGCUCGGGUUGCUGAGAGACCUGAGGGACUAAUCCUGCCAGGGAAAGUCAGGGAAUUCUGAGGAGGCGACAUUUAAGUUAGUUCUUAAAGGAUCCGUAGAUGUUCUCAGGUGAAGAAGAAAGGUAUCCUAAGCAGGUAAGAGGGCACAGGGAUGUUAAGGGCCCACUGAGUCUGGGAAAGUUCAGAUGGCAGUGAUGUAGGCGUGUCAGGGAGAAUGACCAGCCUGAGAUGGAAGCAAUGGGCUGGGACCAGCUGAGAGGCAUGGAGGCCAAGGGAAGGCUCUGGAUUUUAUCCUUGGUAGCACCCCUCUACCUGUGAAGUCUCCUCCUCACAGGACUUGGUCUCUUGCCUUUUGUUGGGAGCCUCUGAACACAAGAGAUUCCUUGGAGCCAAUAGGCCCUUAGAAGUUCAUCUAAUCCAGUCCGUGUCCUUAGAGGGCACCAGAUCUUAACUGACCUGGACAUCCGAGAAACCUCCCUGUGUUUGAAGCAUUUUAAAGGAGAUCCUACAACCUCGCUGGGCCACACGUUGGUUGCUCCACAAGCCCUGAUCCUAAUUCUUUUCUUUUACAGUUUCAACUUAUUUGGUAGAUUCUCAAAGGAAUGGAAACAGUCACCAUUUGCUGUAACGAAAGAUCUCACAUUCCUAGGCAAUCACCAAUGAGAAACAUUUACUGGACUCUUACCCUGUGAAAGGUUCUGUGCAGAUCGGAAUAUAAAGAAUUAGAAGACAUAUGC